GAUGAACGCUGGCGGCGUGCCUAAUACAUGCAAGUCGAGCGAACGGACGAGAAGCUUGCUUCUCUGAUGUUAGCGGCGGACGGGUGAGUAACACGUGGAUAACCUACCUAUAAGACUGGGAUAACUUCGGGAAACCGGAGCUAAUACCGGAUAAUAUUUUGAACCGCAUGGUUCAAAAGUGAAAGACGGUCUUGCUGUCACUUAUAGAUGGAUCCGCGCUGCAUUAGCUAGUUGGUAAGGUAACGGCUUACCAAGGCAACGAUGCAUAGCCGACCUGAGAGGGUGAUCGGCCACACUGGAACUGAGACACGGUCCUGACUCCUACGGGAGGCAGCAGUAGGGAAUCCUCCGCAAUGGGCGAAAGCCUGACGGAGCAACGCCGCGUGAGUGAUGAAGGUCUUCGGAUCGUAAAACUCUGUUAUUAGGGAAGAACAUAUGUGUAAGUAACUGUGCACAUCUUGACGGUACCUAAUCAGAAAGCCACGGCUAACUACGUG
rnacentral:rRNA from 1 species